rnacentral:rRNA from 1 species
GACGAACGCUGGCGGCGUGCUUAACACAUGCAAGUCGAACGGAAAGGCCCUGCUUUUGUGGGGUGCUCGAGUGGCGAACGGGUGAGUAACACGUGAGUAACCUGCCCUUGACUUUGGGAUAACUUCAGGAAACUGGGGCUAAUACCGGAUAGGAGCUCCUGCUGCAUGGUGGGGGUUGGAAAGUUUCGGCGGUUGGGGAUGGACUCGCGGCUUAUCAGCUUGUUGGUGGGGUAGUGGCUUACCAAGGCUUUGACGGGUAGCCGGCCUGAGAGGGUGACCGGCCACAUUGGGACUGAGAUACGGCCCAGACUCCUACGGGAGGCAGCAGUGGGGAAUAUUGCACAAUGGGCGGAAGCCUGAUGCAGCAACGCCGCGUGCGGGAUGACGGCCUUCGGGUUGUAAACCGCUUUCGCCUGUGACGAAGCGUGAGUGACGGUAAUGGGUAAAGAAGCACCGGCUAACUACGUGCCAGCAGCCGCGGUGAUACGUAGGGUGCGAGCGUUGUCCGGAUUUAUUGGGCGUAAAGGGCUCGUAGGUGGUUGAUCGCGUCGGAAGUGUAAUCUUGGGGCUUAACCCUGAGCGUGCUUUCGAUACGGGUUGACUUGAGGAAGGUAGGGGAGAAUGGAAUUCCUGGUGGAGCAGUGGAAUGCGCAGAUAUCAGGAGGAACACCAGUGGCGAAGGCGGUUCUCUGGGCCUUUCCUGACGCUGAGGAGCGAAAGCGUGGGGAGCGAACAGGCUUAGAUACCCUGGUAGUCCACGCUGUAAACGGUGGGUACUAGGUGUGGGGUCCAUUCCACGGGUUCCGUGCCGUAGCUAACGCUUUAAGUACCCCGCCUGGGGAGUACGGCCGCAAGGCUAAAACUCAAAGGAAUUGACGGGGCCCCGCACAAGCGGCGGAGCAUGCGGAUUAAUUCGAUGCAACGCGUAGAACCUUACCUGGGUUUGACAUGGAUCGGGAGUGCUCAGAGAUGGGUGUGCCUCUUUUGGGGUCGGUUCACAGGUGGUGCAUGGCUGUCGUCAGCUCGUGUCGUGAGAUGUUGGGUUAAGUCCCGCAACGAGCGCAACCCUUGUUCACUGUUGCCAGCACGUUAUGGUGGGGACUCAGUGGAGACCGCCGGGGUCAACUCGGAGGAAGGUGGGGAUGACGUCAAGUCAUCAUGCCCCUUAUGUCCAGGGCUUCACGCAUGCUACAAUGGCUGGUACAGAGAGUGGCGAGCCUGUGAGGGUGAGCGAAUCUCGGAAAGCCGGUCUCAGUUCGGAUUGGGGUCUGCAACUCGACCUCAUGAAGUCGGAGCCGCUAGUAAUCGCAGAUCAGCAACGCUGCGGUGAAUAAAUUCCCGGG